UUAGUGGCGGUUCUUUCAUUGGAUCCACCGUACUCACAAAAACGUCUACAGGCGCCAGUUCAGAUGGCUUCCCCUCUUUCUCGGAUACCUUAGCGACAAUCGAUCAAGGUAGGUUUCACGCUCAAUUGGGAACCAUUUUGGGAAUUGAUCGAAGAUCCAUGAGACCGCAAACCAUAUCUCACAAAUGACGGAUAUGAGCCAUAACGCGUAUGCGUCAUUAACAGGGUGUAGGAUUCU
rnacentral:lncRNA from 1 species